ACCAAAUCAGCAUCGAAUCUUCAGAUUUUGAUUCAGCCAAAUUGAAUCAGGCAGUGAUCCGAAUCAAUGAAUUGAAUCACUGUCCCCGAUUUGGGACAAAUCCGAAUUGAGUAAGGCCUGUUUCAACCCUCCCCCCGCAAUAUAUAGGCAUUAGAAUAAUGGUCCAGGGCAACAGCAAAGGUUAAUUGGUUUCUAAAGCCCUGGUCACACAGUUCUCACAGGCUUUAAGGCAGACAAGAUGUCUAACACAACAAGGACAAUGGAUAUACACGUAGCCUGGGAAAUUGUGGGCUUAUAUCACACUGUUCCAUAACAUAUGAGAUAAUGUGGCACCAGCUCACAAGGCCCAAGAGAGUAGGAGCCUGAGGUUCCGGUUUUGGGGAACAGACUAAAUUAGGAAAAGAUCUAGAAAGUCCAAAUUAGGAUGUGUGCAUGUGAUGGGCUUGUGAAAUAAAGGAAUAUGCUGACAGGACAGAACAUGGACAGUAUGACAACAUAGAAAGACCAAUCAGCAAUGCUCACAGAUGAAGAGUCAUCAGGAGGCAAAAAGAAUACAAAAGAAAGGACUUCAGAACAGCAAAGGGCCCCUGUCCCUGAGAGAGGUCCCCAAAAGGGGAAUCGGAGGCCACCAUGGACAGAGGGCAUACCACCAGCUUGUCUUAUCCACCCCACAGGAGGAGGAGGAGGCUCGGCCUCCAAUCUCCAGGCUGCUGACAUUAAAGAAAAGAAGCUCAGAGUGAAGCUUGUGUCCUGGCCAGGUGUACCUUUACUCUGAUGACAGCACUAGAAUUGGUAGAUAUAGAAUUGUUUGUAUUAUUCUUUUCUGUUAUCACUGUGUAUCAAUACAUUUUCUAUUAUCGAAUAGAAAGGUAGUGGUCAGUCUGAGGGUUUUGGAUCCCCCAGGAACAAGGCAUCUGGUUCAUAAAUCCAGUGCCAACAACUUGAGUCAACGAGACCAAGAAGCACAAAACCUGACAUUCUGUGUGGUCAUUGUACACAAACCAUACCCACUGAAAUGAAUUGCUGGGCACAUCAGGUCAGUUGCUGGAAUUGCCAGAGAAAAGGACACAUUGCUGUGGCCUGUCGCACAGUUCAACAACCAGUAACACCUUGAAGCUGUCCACCCAAGAAAGCAUCUAUCAGGAAGGAACCCAAAAGGGGACAUAAGUCCAGAAUAUAUAAUAUGGAAGAAGACCAGAGCUCUAGAGCCAUUGACUGAGGCCUGGAAAUGCACCUGCUUUUAGAUGCAGUUGUAAAAGAUAUCUACUUUUGUUUAUGGUUGAAGGAAACUAUUCACCAUUGUAUGGCAGAUCUUGGCUCAAAAAACUCAGGGUAAAUUUGAACAAGGUCAAGUUAAUCAGGAAGGCACCUCAAAGCCUUAAAGAAAAACUAAAAAGAAUAGUAAAGUUAUUUCCUGUAUACCAGCAAAUUCAGCAAGAUCCUGGCUCAGUUUACCCUUGGGCAUGGCAUCAUACUCUGUGGACACAUAUUCAUGUGGAUUUUGCAGGAGUAGGUUAAGGCUGUAUGUUUUAGUAAUAGUUGAUUCUUCUUCUUGCGUCUCUCCACCAUGUUUUGUCACGUGCUUGUGCUCAUUUAUUGUACUUCCUGAGGUCUUUCAUUGUAUGUGCCUUCAAACAGCGGGCAUUACAGCAGAUACUGUAUCGUCAGAGGCUCUGUGCUGCAGUCACAGAGUAGUAGUUGAUGCAAACUCUAACUGGGUAGAAGUUUUCAAAAUGUUCUUUUACAGCUACCUUGACUAGUGAGCAUUUCCAUACCUUUAUUUAUUUACUUAUUUUGGAUUACCAUUGCAUUUGGUGAGUAAUGGAACUCAGUUCUGUUUGGAGGAAUGUUGGAGGUUUGUGAUUUCCAACAGAAUUCAACAUAAAUGCUCUGCUCCUUAUCAUCCUGCUACAAAUAAACUAACUAAAUGUUUUGCACAAUCUCUCAAUUGAUUUAAGAACCAACCUGUCUACCAUAAGUUUUCAACACAAAUUGGAUAAUUCCUUAAUUCAUAUAUUGGAACAUGCCACUAUGAGGGAGUCAUCUGCUACUCUUUUCCUAAAAAUACCAUUGCAUACUUGUUUCAGCCUUUUACACUCUUUACAUUCCAGGGAUCACAGGUAUUCAGAUCCCAAAGUAGCCAAAUUGAUUGAUAGCAUAUGUUUCGCCAUCACUCAUCACAAAAAUGGUGAGGGGGCUGAGGCACAUGACUUAUGAGGAGAGGCUGAGAGAACUGGGUUUAGUUAGUUUGGAGAAGAGAAGACUGAGUGGUGAGGUGUGCGUGUGUGUGUGGCAGGGGGAGGAAGAGGGUUUAAAUAGCAGCCUUCAGCUAUCUGAAGGGUGGUUACAAAGAGGAUGGAGCUAGACUUCUCAGUGGUGGCAAAUGAGAGGACAAGGAGCAAUGGUCUCAAAUUGCAGCAAGGAAAGUUUAGGUUAGGUAUCGGGAAAAACUUUCUCACUAGAAGAGUAGUAAAGCACUGACACAGAUUACCCAGAGAGGUUGUGGAAUCUCAUUUCUUGGAGGUGUUUAAGACAAGGCUAGUCAAAGCCUUGGCUGGGAUAAUAUAGUCAGGAAUGGUCCUGCUUUGAGUAGGGGCUUGGUCUAGAUGACCUCCUGAGGUCCCUUCUGACCCUAAUUUUCUAUGAUUUUAUCCCAGACUUUUCACGGUCCCUUCCAGAAACAACGUCUCUUUUCGGCAGGGAACCCUCGUUCGCAUGAGUACCCGUCAUCUGUAGAAAUGGACUGUUUUAUCUUGUGGCUCCACUGUUUCCAGAGGUUACACUAGGCUAGGAGAAAAUCAGUCUGCCAUAUUGAAAAUUAAAGUUUAGAGGGCUUUUUAUAUUGUUAGCAACAUGGUUCUGGGAUGGGAUGCAGUAGAACAGAACAACUGAAGAGCCUGAGCACUUAAAAGUCCAGACACUAUUUGUGAGCUAAGAUUAUAUCUGCUCAUGCUAGAUGGAUACCAAUUUAUCUUUUGCAAUCUACUGCUUACAUGACAGGCAGCUAAGUCUAAUAGGUUUUGUAGAAAAAAAUGCUAUAGGAGUUGAUAACUUGCUAGCUUCACCUUCUACAUUUGACUGCGCAUUGGCCUCUUGCAAGCUUUCUGCCUGUGUCCAAAUGUCUGUAUGCAUCUUAAAACAUUAUGCUGUAACCCAUCAUGCUUCAGUUCUGCUAUAUAUAGUCUGCUGUAUAUACACAACUCUAAUAUUUAAUUAUAAUUGGCCUCUCUUUUUUUUCUUUAAAAUAUAUUUUAAAGAAGUUGUAUGGUCAGUGAUUGAUUAUCAUGAAUAUGAAAGAAUAGAAGUGAUUUUAUUUUCAGAAAGUUGAAGAAGAGAAUAUUUGCAGGCAUUACUUCUUGCUGACUACGUGUGGCUUACUUCUGUUAAUGUUAGUGAGUCAUGGACAUGCAGCUAAGGAAGAAAGCCGAUAGAGUAAACAAUUGCUUUCUGGAAUGGGGGCUUGGUCUGAGCAUUGGAAUGGACACAACAGACAGAGUUUUAAUCCUUGUCCUGGGACUAACACUGGCCAAGGUCUGUGGCCUUCUCCAAACCACUGAGUCCUUUCCUUGUCCAUUUUUCUAUAGGAUAGGGAAAUAGUACUUAUGUCUCAGGCUUCUUGUGAAGAUUGAUUAAUAUUCAUAAAUGUGAUUAUAUAUAAGUGAUGAGUAAUGUAUUAAUGUUUUAUUAAUUCUUUAAGAACAACAGAAGGCCUCUCAAGAGCCAUCAGUGCCCACUCCUUCAAUCUCAGAAUAUUGGUCAUGUGGGGAUACACCCACCUGAUCCCAGCGGAGGCUGGUGACAUUUAAAAGCUAGUAGGGAAAACUGACACACCGUGUAUGAUCAGAGCCAGCAAGCAGCAGCACCCGGCUUCUUCUGACUCAAAAUGGGGUAAGCUCUGCCUAUCCUCAGGUGACGUUUCUGCCUGAGCCUAAUGGGGUUUUUUUGUAUAUUUUUAAAGCAGCUCCUGUAUAAUAUCAUGUGGAUCAAUCUGCAGCAGACCACUUGCUAAGUGUGGGUGGGGAAGACUUCUAAACAGAAAAGGAACUUUCUUUGAAAACUUUUAUGUGUGCCAUGUGACCCCAUAGCAGCUUUGUAGAAUGUUCACCCUAUCUCAUUUUCAAAAGAGAAUGGGAUGUAGGUUCCUAUGUCACUUCGGGGCUUUUAAAAAAUUGUUUGCAUUUUUUAAAGAGAAAAAAAUUAACUCAAAUUUUACCAGCAAGAGAGCUGCUUUCAGGACUGCUGAUGCUAUGGGUUUUCUCCAUGUGCUAGUCAUUUGGAUCCUCUUACAGAGCCAUGGGGAAAACUCUUACUCAAGCAUUUUUCAUAUUCCAGGUGGAUUGUCGGUCUGCACCAUUUCCCUGUUCCCAGAGAAAGGCAGCCAAUCAGAACUCCUGGUUAUGAUCAAUCAUAUCCUCCUCUUCCAGCAACUCCUUGAAACAGGCAUUGAAAAGUCUUUUGUUUGACUUCAAUGGAGUUUAGACCAGUCCUAAACCACCAAAAUCCUGAGACACCCUGAACGGGGCUUCUGCAAACCACUGGUGCAAAGCUUGUUUUGAUUUUAUGUUCUGCCGUCAUAGGAUUGUAGCAGUCAGACUGAGGAAAUUCAGGCACAUGCCUGCAGUGGCUCAAGCUAGAAGCCUGGGGGGGCGCUAGAGCAGCCCCCAGUCCCUUGCACAGUGCUGAGCUGAGGGGCGGCGGGGGCGUGACCAGGCCCCAGCAGGAGGCUCUGAUUAGGGAGGGGUGUAAACCCCCACCCUGCCUGCACCAUCCCAGGCUUUUUCCUGCUGGCUGCUCAAGGGCACUCGAAGCAAACAGAGGAGAAAACGGACUCAUUCUACUCUUCUACUGUAGUGCACUACUCUGUUUAAUGCAGUUCCAGGAAACUAAUUGUCAAAGGACUGUACACCACGAGAGAAGCUGUACUGCUUUUGUUAGCAUCAACUCAAGACAUGCCAAGUUUUACCUAAUUUGAAAAGUUUCUUUGGAGCUAUCAUGACAUAGUUGAAGUUAAACCUUUCAGAAAUACUGUCAGAUGUUGUGGACUCAGCUGUUUCCCUACUAAUGUCAAAUCCAGGAAAUGAAAUGCCCUUCAAUCAUCAGCCCAAGUACAAAGGGAAUAAUACGUUAUUGCAGAUGUGAAGAGCAGUCAAAAGCUCAGCAAUUUCUAUUACAUUUGCCAAUAUUUGGGUCAGAAAACAUGUUACUUUUUUUUCCAAUUGCAAGUGAAUCUGGGGCUCAUGAAAUUCAGACAGCACUAUAUUGAGGCAGGGGUUGUUCAGGCAGAUGAAGUGCAACUUUCCUAACAUGGCACUUAAAAAGGCAACACACUUUUGACUUGUAACAAACACCCCUUCUAGCCCAGUUCUGGCUUCUUUGGGGACCAGAGUCCUAGUUGCUUUGAAGUGCAUUGAAUUGUGGUGAUUUUCUUAUGUGCACAAAUGGGGCUAGGACACAUGUCUAAAAUAAUUAAAUAGUUACCUCCAGAGGAAACACUAGUGCCCUAGGUCACUGUGAUGCCUUUGGUUCCUGACUUUUGAAUGUUUCCUGCACGUUUAUGUUUCUAACUUUGCAAUCAUUUAAGUUGUGGAAUGUCCAGAAGUACAAGUGUGUAAAAUAAAACAAGCUGGUAAGUAAAGCAUUUAGGGUUGAGAGACUGAAUCAUAAAAACUUGGUAUUGAAAAGCAAACUGAGGAUACAGAAUCAGUAAACAGAAAGACCAUUCUAUAUAGUAGUGUAAAAGUACUGUAGGAAGAAUAUAAAGAUCCAAACCAAUAGAACUAAAAAAGAAGCAAAAAAUAAUUGGGAGUUUUGGCUGGUAGAGUCUAGAAUGUGAAGAAAAUGACAGAAUUCCAGACUCAUUCCCCCUUGCCUCCCAAAAUCAUGCAAGGUAGUGAACUACUACAAAGAAAUGGUAUUUCCUAGUUGCUAACAGAGUGCUACAACCAACAGAGAAGUUAAAAAAAAUAUGAAGUGUGCACAAUAGGAAGGAGCUUAGCUGCCUUUCUUCAGCCAUUUGAGCAGAAAAAAAUAACAGAAAAGUCAAUUACUAUUUUAAAAAUAUGACAUGAAAAUCAGAAACAAUAGGAAGGAAUGGGCAGACAGAGAUAAUUAUUACAGCAGAAAUAUUUGCUCCACUGUUAUUAAGAGCUUGUCAGAGUUUCCAUGAUUUAAAAAAAAUCUUUUUCAGGAUUCAUAAAAAUGUUCUCCAUGGCAAGCACCAGUGCUAGAGAAAGGGUUUUAGUUAUAACAAUUAAAAAAAAUAUGUUUGGGGAAAUGGUUUCAGAUGCCUUUUUAGAUGAUGAGGUUGAGCAGUAGCUUUUAGAUCUUUAUAAUGAAAAUGUGCAGCCCACCAGUCUACAUACAAGAAUAAUUUCUUUUUCUAAAGGUACAUUUAUGUAAAACCCUCCACACCUCAUUGGAUGUGACACAUUAGCAAUGUGAUACUGUCAGUCUACUAGAUUAGUAUAUGGCAGGUAAGUAACUAUGACAGGCAUAAAGGAAGCCAUUCUGUUUAGCUGUGUUAAUCUGUGAAGCAAUGUGGUCUAGGGAUUACAAUGGGAGGCUAGACUUCUAGUUUCUGUUACCAGCUCUGUUACAGACUGGAUAUGUGACCAUGGGCAAUUCCCUUAAUAUUGGGCCUUAAUUUACUCAUCUAUAAAAUGUUUGUGCAUAUUUUCCUAAUGCAGAUGUGUGUUUUGGGGCUUAAUUAAAGUUUACAUUGUACUUUGAGAUACUUGUAUGAAAUAUAAGUACAAAAUAAUAGUAAUAUUUUAUAGUAAGUUUGGCACAAAUCUCCCUUUUAUCUAUUGGCAUAACAAAUCCCACUUCGUUUAAAAGAGUGCUUUCAAGUUAAAAAUUAAAAAGUGAAUGACUGCAUGUGCAAUAAGCUAUAAAACCAAAAUCUUGACAUUUUUAAGAUCCCUAAAAUCUCAUGAAGUUUUUUUGUGGGGAAAUAAAGUUAAACUGACAUAGUGGUCAAGUUCUAUAAUAUCUAAUUAUAGUUUGCCUAGUCACAGUCUGCACUUUCAAUUGGGUAAGGCAUUCUUCAAUUCCUGCCUUCAAACUGUGGAAUAGUGUUGCUGUUCUAUGCAUUUGUUAGGGUCCAAUACUUCUGGGACAUAAGUGCCGAUAUUCAGUACCUGCUAUCUUGGGCUCUUGAAAAGCCACUGUAUUCUGAUCCAGAAAUGGUUACAUUUCAGUGGUGGUUUACCCAAUCCCUGUUCACCAAAAUCAGGAGUAUAGUCUUUUCUUCUAAAGCCUGAAUUAAGUAGGAGUUGGAAGGACAAGAAAUGGAAGAUCAAGAUCACUGUUUGUGAAGUGUCUAGGGUUCCUUCUAGAUAAAAUAUCCUAUACAUGCAAGCCACUAACAUUUGGUGCUUUAAACUAAUGACAUUUUCAAAAUAAUUACACAUAGCAAAACCUAUAUAUUAUAGAGUCAGAAUAUUUAUAAUAUGAAAAUGCUUGUCUUUUUUAGUAUUUGUAGUAAAUGUUUAAGUGAAGCACUGUCAUGAGUAAAAAUUGUAUUUAGUGUUAUCUUUGGAUAUAGGAACCUUAUAAAUUAAAAGUUUGUAAUUUCCAAGCCCCCCAUUGACCUACCCCUCCAACCCCCUCCUCCCCCCACAAAAAAACCCAAAGCCUACCCUUUUAAUAAGAUUUGGGGAAAAUACCAGAGGCCAAGGAAUCAUUGAUAAUAAUAUUAGUAAUGCAGACCAUAUAGGUGGCAAGAUGAUAGCAAAUACCUGGGGAGGGAGUAAAGUGAAAAAGGAGGCAGUAUUUUUAAGGUACAGUCUGAUGUCAGAACGGUGGUUUGAGAACCAGGCAGAAGAAAGACUGUCACAAGUUAAGAUAACCCUAGUUUGAAACAAGAAGCAGUCUUUGCACCAGGCCAAAGGAAAGUUGAAAGGGAGGAAAGUUGGAUGAAUACAAGGGAGAGUUAAUUAUAUGGUAACAGGAGCAAGUAUAAAAUCUUUAAACUGAUCUUAAUUUUGCUUUAGUUUGAUCUAGUGUACUGCUCACGUUAACUUCACUAAAAUGCACAUUUUUAAUAUUUAAAUAGGAUACAGUGAUAUUUACACCAAAUAAACAAGUCAUUAAUCUAUCUCUUAUACUUAGUCUUGUAUAUUUCCCAUCUUUUUCUUACAAUAUUGUAUUUUUUUAAUUUUUAAACUCACUUUUAGAUCAUAAUUUUGAUUUACAUUUUACCUCUGCU